rnacentral:rRNA from 1 species
GAUGAACGCUGGCGGCGUGCCUAAUACAUGCAAGUCGAGCGAAUGGAUUAAGAGCUCGCUCUUAUGAAGUUAGCGGCGGACGGGUGAGUAACACGUGGGUAACCUGCCCAUAAGACUGGGAUAACUCCGGGAAACCGGGGCUAAUACCGGAUAAUAUUUUGAACUGCAUGGUUCAAAAUUGAAAGGCGGCUUCGGCUGUCACUUAUGGACGGACCCGCGUCGCAUUAGCUAGUUGGUGAGGUAACGGCUCACCAAGGCAACGAUGCGUAGCCGACCUGAGAGGGUGAUCGGCCACACUGGGACUGAGACACGGCCCAGACUCCUACGGGAGGCAGCAGUAGGGAAUCUUCCGCAAUGGACGAAAGUCUGACGGAGCAACGCCGCGUGAGUGAUGAAGGCUUUCGGGUCGUAAAACUCUGUUGUUAGGGAAGAACAAGUGCUAGUUGAAUAAGCUGGCACCUUGACGGUACCUAACCAGAAAGCCACGGCUAACUACGUGCCAGCCGCCGCCGUAA